AUACGUAGGGGGCUAGCGUUGUCCGGAGUUUACUGGGCGUAAAGGGUGAGUAGGCGGUUUGCAUAUGUCAGAUGUAAAAGGCACAGGCUUAACUUGUGUUAGCAUUUGAAACUGUGCGACUUGAGUGCAGGAGAGGUAAGUGGAAUUCCUAGUGUAGCGGUGAAAUGCGUAGAUAUUAGGAGGAACACCAGUAGCGAAGGCGGCUCUCUGGACUGUAACUGACACUGAGGCACGAAAGCGUGGGGAGC
rnacentral:rRNA from 1 species